GUUGGAAUAAUGCGGGUUGUAGUUCAGAAAUGCGAAACCACGGGCCUGAUCAAUCGUGUGAAACAGUGGGUUCCAGUCAAACAUCACCAACAUAAACCCCGGAAGCGUAUUGGCGACAAACAUCUUGCCCGAUGCAAUCAUAUUUGCCCGUUG
rnacentral:ncRNA from 1 species